UACGUAGGGUGCGAGCGUUAAUCGGAAUUACUGGGCGUAAAGCGUGCGCAGGCGGCGCGUUAAGACAGGUGUGAAAGCCCCCGAGCUUAACUUGGGAAUUGCGCUUGUGACUGGCGAGCUGGAGUGUGGCAGAGGGAGGUGGAAUUCCACGUGUAGCAGUGAAAUGCGUAGAGAUGUGGAGGAACACCGAUGGCGAAGGCAGCCUCCUGGGCCAGCACUGACGCUCAUGCACGAAAGCGUGGGGGAGCAAACAGG
rnacentral:rRNA from 1 species